UCCCUUAAGAUGUUAUGCGCGGCUGAAGGUCUUACGAGAUGUUCUCUGCCUCUGGUCAUGGUCAUGUCCCCUAAGAUUUGUUAUGCGCUGCUGAAGGUCUUAUGAGAGGAUUCUCUGCCUAAGGUCCUGGCCAUAUACCAGAUGGUUUGUUAUGCGCGGUUGAAGGUCUUAUGAGCUCUGUGCUCUGCCUAGGUCUCGACCAUGUACCUAAAAUGUUAUGCAUGGCUGAAGGUCUUAUGAGGUGUGGAUUCUUUGUCUCUGCCUCUGGUCUUGGUCAUAUAGGAAAGGAAGAAGGGAAAGCUCGGGAAUACAGCCUUAGAGUUGGGCAAGCAAUCGAGAAGCAAGGUAGCCUUGGACAAAUCGUAGAUAUCGCAGUUCUUGGAAUACUUGAAGGUUAAUCUUGGAAGUGCACGAUAAGCAUACCGUUUUAUAAGUAUACAGCGUGUGCACUCGGCCACGAAGACAAGAGCGGGCGGCGGCAGAGGUAGCAGCAUCUAAGCCAGUAUCUGGGCCAGUUGGCUUCCAUCGAGUUUCCAUAAAACAAGGUUGUUCCUUGCUAGUAACUCUUUCUUUUUG
rnacentral:lncRNA from 1 species